rnacentral:rRNA from 1 species
GACGAACGCUGGCGGCGUGCUUAACACAUGCAAGUCGAACGCUGAAGCUCAGCUUUUGUUGGGUGGAUGAGUGGCGAACGGGUGAGUAACACGUGAGUAACCUGCCCCCUUCUUUGGGAUAACGCCCGGAAACGGGUGCUAAUACUGGAUAUUCACUGGUCUUCGCAUGGGGGUUGGUGGAAAGGGUUUUUCUGGUGGGGGAUGGGCUCGCGGCCUAUCAGCUUGUUGGUGGGGUGAUGGCCUACCAGGGCUUUGACGGGUAGCCGGCCUGAGAGGGUGACCGGUCACGUUGGGACUGAGAUACGGCCCAGACUCCUACGGGAGGCAGCAGUGGGGAAUAUUGCACAAUGGGCGAAAGCCUGAUGCAGCGACGCCGCGUGAGGGAUGGAGGCCUUCGGGUUGUGAACCUCUUUCGCUCAUGGUCAAGCCGCAACAAUGGUUGUGGUGAGGGUAGUGGGUAAAGAAGCGCCGGCUAACUACGUG